AGUAACGCGUGGUCAACCUACCGUUGAGUGGGGGAGUAACUAGCCGAAAGGUUAGCUAAUACCGCAUACGUCUCCGAGAGGCAUCUCUUGGCGAUAAAAGGAGCAAUCCGCUCGAUGACGGGACCGCGUCCCAUUAGCUAGAUGGUGGGGUAACGGCCUACCAUGGCACCGAUGGGUAGCUGGUUUGAGAGAGCGACCAGCCACACUGGGACUGAGAAACGGCCCAG
rnacentral:rRNA from 1 species